rnacentral:rRNA from 1 species
UGGGUUAGUGGCGGACGGGUGAGUAACGCGUGGGUAACCUGCCUUACACAGGGGGAUAACGACUUAGAAAUAGGUGCUAAAACCGCAUAAGCGCACAGCUUCGCAUGAAGCGGUGUGAAAAACUCCGGUGGUGUAAGAUGGAACCCGCGUCUGAUUAGCUUGUUGGCGGGGUAACGGCCCACCAAGGCGACGAUCAGUAGCCGGCCUGAGAGGGCGGACGGCCACAUUGGGACUGAGACACGGCCCAGACUCCUACGGGAGGCAGCAG